CUCUUUUCGCUUCCAUUUUUGGACCUGCACAUAUUUACAAAUUCGAAGUCUUUUGAUCCCUACCCUCUUGUACACGAUUAUGUUUGUUAUAGUGCAAUCCCCUUCCUCCCUUGAGUUCAAAUCCCGACCGAAAGAGAGAGAUAGAGAAUUGAACUUCGGAGGUCAUGCUUCUCCGGUGAUGUUAGUGAGUAACGAGAUCAAAAGAGAACUUCGUUAAGUAAAGGUGCAAGGUGACCCACUUGCAAUUUCUGUUUCGUAUUCUUAGAGAGAACGACAUAGAUUAGAAUGAAAAGAAAGGUGAAUGUCCGGUUGACAAUGAAACUCGUCAUUCGUUAAUGGUGGUGUUUGUAUGCUUGUACUCCGGUGUGUGGAGAGUAUCAGGUUCCCGAAAAAAGUUAAACUACUGAAAAUUUUUUAAGCGGCAUUCCGGGCUAUCCUGGAAUCCAAGGUGGAUCUGCCAUGACUAAGGCCCCGUUUGUUUCUCUUAAAAAAUCAGAUGUGAGUCGUUUGGUACCCUCUUAAUAAAAACCUCUGAAUCUAAAAAAAUGCCUCUUAAAAAAUAAGAGAUCAACCCGCAUCUGAAAACAAAAAAUGACCGCGCUGCCCUCCCUCUCCUAGGUCUCGCUCUUUCUUUCAUGUCUCCACUUUUUUUCUUUCUCAUCUCCGCACACCAGAACCUCCCUCCCGAUCCACUGAGAAAUCGUGUUCUCUCCCCGUCAUUGCAAUCAUCGGCUUCCUCUCCGCCUCCCGUCGUCGGCGUCCUCUCCGACAGCUGCACAUCCGACGACUUCUGCAGUGUGCAGAAAAUAGAAGGUCUUUGGUUCACUAGUUGCACCAUGGAUUGAAAGAAGUAUUUUUUUUUAUUUGGCUAUUGUAUGUUGUUUUAUGUUUCCAUGGAUUGAAAGAAAUGAAUUUGGGAGAAUUUAUGUUUAAUUUGGUUAUAUUGUAUGAUUUUUAUGUUACAAUGGAUUGAAAAAAAUGAAUUUGAAAGAAUUUAUGUUUAAUUUGGCUAUUGUAUGAUCA